AAGGCGGCAUCCGAAAAGUCUGAAAAGAGUAGGAA
rnacentral:ncRNA from 1 species